GUGGGCGUAGCUCAGCAGGUAGAGCCCCUGACUGUGGAUCAGGUUGUCGCCGGUUCGAGCCCGGCCGUCCACCCCA
rnacentral:tRNA from 1 species